rnacentral:rRNA from 1 species
UUGGAGGGCAAGUCUGGUGCCAGCAGCCGCGGUAAUUCCAGCUCCAAUAGCGUAUAUUAAAGUUGUUGCAGUUAAAAGGUUCGUAGUUGAAUUUCGGGGUUAGUAGGCUGGUCGUGCCACAGGUAUGCACUGGUCUUACUGAUUCCUCCUUCCUGAUGAACCGUAAUGCCAUUAAUUUGGUGUUGCGGGGAGUCUGGACUGUUACUUUGAAAAAUUAGAGUGUUUAAAGCAGGCUAACGCUUGAAUACAUUAGCAUGGAAUAACGAAAUAGGACGUUCGAUCUUAUUUUGUUGGUUUCUAGGAUUGACGUAAUGAUUAAUAGGGAUAGUUGGGGGCAUUAGCAUUCAAUUGUCAGAGGUGAAAUUCUUGGAUUUAUUGAAGACUAACUACUGCGAAAGCAUUUGCCAAGGAUGUUUUCAUUAAUCAAGAACGAAAGUUAGGGGAUCGAAGACGAUCAGGUACCGUCGUAGUCUUAACCAUAAACUACGCCGACUAGGGGUCGAUGAUGUUAAUUUUAUAAUGAC